ACAGUAUUCAUUCAAGAUGUGCAAAAGGAGGACUUUAAUUGAUCCACUCAUAACGUCCUCCGGAAGCAGCUUUAUAUACUUUUGACCCUGACGAUCUUCCUCUGCUCUCUCACUAUCGCUCUGCCUCUCUUUUGUUAUCUAUGACCAUGCGUGUUACUGUAUGCACACCUUAUAUCUCUGCAUACAUGUAUCCUCCGCUACCACAGAGGAGGUUCGAGAGGGGAAAAAACUGUCUAUGUACGUCAUGUAUCAUACAGCUCUUAUCAAUUAGUGGUGACGUAUAAGUGUGGUAGGUUCAAUUGCAAGGUCACUGAUAAUUAUUAAAAAUACGAGAAUGUUUAAUUGGAAACGAAAAUUAACAAGAGGUCAAGUGGGUUCAAUUGCCAAAUUCCGAGUAUUGAAGCAAGUGACAUCUCUUAAAUGUUGUGUUUUAAUGACUGUAUGCAUGCAUAUCUUUAAUCUGAAUGAUGUGCAUCUUGAAUGAAUAGUGCAUCUUUAAUGAAUGCAUCAAAAUCUUGAAUGGAUACUGUUGAAUGCAUAAAAAUCUUGAAUGAAAAUUGCACAUCUUGAAUGAAUACUGUAUGCAUCUUGAAUGAAUGUAUUGUAAUCUGAAUGAAAUGUAACAUUUGAAUUUUGAAACAAACGGCCCACCAUAUUUCAAUGUUACAUUUUCAUUCAGAUUGCAUUCAAGAUGCAUAGCUAUAUACAGUACGUAUUCAUUCAAGAUGUGCAAUUUUCAUUCAAGAUUUUAUGCAUCAAAGAUACAUAUUAUUACAGUAUUCAUUCAAGAUGUGCAAAGCUGCUUCCUGAGGACUUUAAUUGAAUUCCAUUCAUCUAAGUAUCUCCUGAGCUAGCUGAGUGCAUGGGAUUUAAGGUCAGAUAUUUUUGUGUGGGCCCUAUGGCUAUGCUAUCUUGUUCAUGUUUGGCAAGAUCUACCGGUAGGUAGACUAUAGUUUCAUCAUUAAUAUGGUGGAUCAAGUGAAGAGUGUGAGCUAGAGAACUUGGUGCUGCCAUCAUCAGCUCGUCGACAAUGACACUAUAACCUGUUUAAUAUGAGAAAUUUAAUAUGUAUAGAUCACACGUAUUUAGAAUGUCUACUUCUCUGUACAGGAGCGAUGGCUAAUAUCCAACUAUCCCAACAGUACUCCUCUUGGCUAUACUAACGGAUGAGACUGGACAGUUUGAGGACUGGAGUAUGACCUGCUCAUUCGAGCGUUGCUGGGUAGCUCAGAGACAUCAAGAGAAUCUACGUUUUCUCAAGCAAAAUUUAACUGAGUUACGAGUUGGGGCCUAAAAUCAGAGAAGUCCAGCAGCCUGCUAAAUCUUUUUGAAACGUAAUUUGAAGGCAUUCAAUCAUCCUGAAGUUGCCCUGGGUCACUGUAAUUGUGCUGCAGCACAACUGGCAACUCCCCAGGCCUUUGUGAAGCAGCUCCCUAUGUGCAUCUUUUGUGUACUCCCUAUGUGCAUCUUUUGUGUACUCACUCUGUGCAUUUUCUGUGUACAAAUUUCGAUUAUUGAUUUAUUAAAUAUUUUUGCCGACCACAAA